GGUCUGAUCACGAAACUGGUACAAAAAAGUGUGACACUUGAAAAUAAAAUGUUUAAAAGAGGAAAUGCAAUUUGGUUUUCCAUUUUUGAAGGCUUAGACCGAUAUGCAAUAGCCACAAAAGAAUGAGGAUAAUAUUCAUCAAGGUAACACAUUAACUGUCUGAUAAUGCUAAAAAGUCAGUAUGUAACAUGGACAGAAGAUAUCGUUCCUAACUUCAUGGAAUUGCCUCAACAUCUCUUUGGAUGUGGUCCUAUAUAUACCAACUGAAAAUAUUGGACAUGUUUAACAUUUUCUCCAAAUAUUGAGUCCAUUGUGUAAAAAUAGCCGAAACUGGUUUACAGAAAAAAGCAGUAUGUAACAUGGACAGGAAUUCAAAGUUUGAUGUAUUGGCAGAUUAGAAAAGGGACAGAGAUCAAAGAAAAUAUGUUACAGUAGAGCUCGCUUUAGAUCAGACUCAGCCAGACCUACAUUUUUGUCCAUUGUGGUGUGUAAUUUGGAGAACGAGAAGAAUGCUAGGGAUUGGGACUUGGAAAGACGUGCCAUGCCAGGAUGUGGUUUAUUUGAGUCCGGUACUGUAAACCAAAUUCAUGAUAUAGUUACCUCUGCUACGAAUGGUAAGCUGGAGUUCUCUGGAGAGAUAUCUGGUGACGGUGUUGAUGUGCUACCAUUGGAUUGAUCCCCGGAUUCAUCUACAUGUAUUCUGGAGAGGCUGAAAGACCAACAAUGUGGAUUAAUUUCCAUGAAAAACUUUUAAAGGUUCAACAUCAACGAGUUUCAGAUCUGGCUCCAAGUCCUCCUCAGCCUUCCGCUUUAGAACUCUGGAUGACCGCCUCACCAUGACAACAUCAGGCCCCGGCAUACCUGAAAUGAACAGAUA